UUGAACGCUGGCGGCAGGCCUAACACAUGCAAGUCGAACGGUAACAGGAAGCAGCUUGCUGCUUUGCUGACGAGUGGCGGACGGGUGAGUAAUGUCUGGGAAACUGCCCGAUGGAGGGGGAUAACUACUGGAAACGGUAGCUAAUACCGCAUAACGUCGCAAGACCAAAGAGGGGGACCUUAGGGCCUCUUGCCAUCGGAUGUGCCCAGAUGGGAUUAGCUAGUAGGUGGGGUAACGGCUCACCUAGGCGACGAUCCCUAGCUGGUCUGAGAGGAUGACCAGCCACACUGGAACUGAGACACGGUCCAGACUCCUACGGGAGGCAGCAGUGGGGAAUAUUGCACAAUGGGCGCAAGCCUGAUGCAGCCAUGCCGCGUGUAUGAAGAAGGCCUUCGGGUUGUAAAGUACUUUCAGCGGGGAGGAAGGGAGUAAAGUUAAUACCUUUGCUCAUUGACGUUACCCGCAGAAGAAGCACCGGCUAACUCCGUGCCAGCAGCCGCGGUAAUACGGAGGGUGCAAGCGUUAAUCGGAAUUACUGGGCGUAAAGCGCACGCAGGCGGUUUGUUAAGUCAGAUGUGAAAUCCCCGGGCUCAACCUGGGAACUGCAUCUGAUACUGGCAAGCUUGAGUCUCGUAGAGGGGGGUAGAAUUCCAGGUGUAGCGGUGAAAUGCGUAGAGAUCUGGAGGAAUACCGGUGGCGAAGGCGGCCCCCUGGACGAAGACUGACGCUCAGGUGCGAAAGCGUGGGGAGCAAACAGGAUUAGAUACCCUGGUAGUCCACGCCGUAAACAAUGUCGACUUGGAGGUUGUGCCCUUGAGGCGUGGCUUCCGGAGCUAACGCGUUAAGUCGACCGCCUGGGGAGUACGGCCGCAAGGUUAAAACUCAAAUGAAUUGACGGGGGCCCGCACAAGCGGUGGAGCAUGUGGUUUAAUUCGAUGCAACGCGAAGAACCUUACCUGGUCUUGACAUCCACGGAAGUUUUCAGAGAUGAGAAUGUGCCUUCGGGAACCGUGAGACAGGUGCUGCAUGGCUGUCGUCAGCUCGUGUUGUGAAAUGUUGGGUUAAGUCCCGCAACGAGCGCAACCCUUAUCCUUUGUUGCCAGCGGUCCGGCCGGGAACUCAAAGGAGACUGCCAGUGAUAAACUGGAGGAAGGUGGGGAUGACGUCAAGUCAUCAUGGCCCUUACGACCAGGGCUACACACGUGCUACAAUGGCGCAUACAAAGAGAAGCGACCUCGCGAGAGCAAGCGGACCUCAUAAAGUGCGUCGUAGUCCGGAUUGGAGUCUGCAACUCGACUCCAUGAAGUCGGAAUCGCUAGUAAUCGUGGAUCAGAAUGCCACGGUGAAUACGUUCCCGGGCCUUGUACACACCGCCCGUCACACCAUGGGAGUGGGUUGCAAAAGAAGUAGGUAGCUUAACCUUCGGGAGGGCGCUUACCACUUUGUGAUUCAUGACUGGGGUG
rnacentral:rRNA from 1 species